GACAGAGGGUGCAAACGUUGUUCGGAAUUACUGGGCGUAAAGCGAGUGUAGGCGGUUUGGUAAGUCGGAUGUGAAAGCCCCGGGCUUAACCUGGGAACUGCAGUCGAGACUGUCUAGCUAGAGUAUGGGAGAGGGAAGUGGAAUUUCAGGUGUAGCGGUGAAAUGCGUAGAUAUCUGAAGGAACAUCAGUGGCGAAAGCGACUUCCUGGACCAAUACUGACGCUCAUGUGCGAAAGCGUGGGGAGCAAACAGG
rnacentral:rRNA from 1 species